CAUCAACCCAAUCUCAAAAUGGAUGUGUAAUGACUCUAAGUGGUCCAGCGGCGGCGAGGAGAGCACACUAAGAGAUGAUGAAUUGUCCAUGCAUUUGUUAUUGUUGGGUCAUUUUUCUGUUCUUUUAGCCGCAAUCUGCUGUAUUUUUUCAUUAAUAUAAAAGUAUGUUACAUGGGGGAAAGAAGAAAAGUGAAACCAAAUGGGUGGAUCACAUUCAAUCAAUUGCUGCUAUAGGUACAAAGUUCAUACUUCAAAGGUUAUUAUCUAUCCAACAAGCAAAUUGUGCUGAUUACUUGUCCUUUCUUUUGAAUUGGGGACCUAUGGUCAGCUUUGAAGCAAUGUCUCCAACUCUACAUUGACGGUGGAGUGGAUCUGAAUACCUUGCUAUUUCUUGCCGAAAAAGGCUUUUGCCCCGCUUUAUAUAUAAAGCAACAACCAGCGACACACAUCCGGAUACAAUGCUCCACCACCCCACACAACACACACACCCAAGACAAGAUACAAGGGUGUCGAUGCACCGCAACACUACCCAAUCGACCACCAAACACACUACAAAUGAGACAAAAGGAACUACUUAGGGCCGACGAGAACCUCCCGAGACCUAGCCACCGAGAAGUGAAGCGGUAGAGUGACGAAGCACGGACUCCAAAGCGGUGCAUUAAAGAAGGGCACGGCCUUUAUAGUCGCCACCGCCCGAUCCCGAGGAUCAGGUUUUCACCCGGAGCAACGUGGAGUGCCGAGGACACCAUGACGGAGCCUUCAUGAAGGAAACGACGUCCGUGGCCGCCGCCACCGUCGGACGGAGAGGACCGGACAAGUUAUGCACUUUGGUGUUAAACCUCCGUCAAACCACCAUGCUACGCCAAACAUCAGCAACCAUGCCACCCGCGUGACCAUGGCUGCUGGACGACACCCAAGACGCGCACUCCGCCCACGAACAUCGCGUCUCCUGCCGCCAGGGCCACCGCCCUACAUCCAAGAAACUCCGUGAAUGCCCAAAGGG
rnacentral:lncRNA from 1 species